CUCAUAAUAGUAACACUAAACCGCAAAUUCACACUAGCAUUUGCUUUUGUACACAGAAUCUCAAAACAAAAUCCCGGGCUCAACUUAUCCUUGAAAGGCUGCUAUCUCCUUACCCCUCCGACGAUUUUUCUUUUAAGAGUUUCUGCAUUGCCAAAAGGGGGCUCUAAAUCAUUUUGCAGUCUUCAAAACUCAUUUAUAUAUGAACACAAAGUUAUACACAAUACAACCGCAACCUGAAUUCAUAUCGAAUUCGAGUUCAGUUCUCUCAUGUUUCUCUCUAUAGCAUUAAUAUGUUCCACAUAACACGAGAGGGCACACAGAUACAAGCUCUAUGGGUGUGUAAAAAGCAUCGUCUUUGCAAGCUCCAGUGCUUUCGGGCGUCCAAACAGCUUCUCCACUAUUGCCAAGGCAAACUCCAUUGAAGUUCCAGGCCCUCUACUAGUUAUGAGGUUGCCAUCAACCACAACCCUGUUUUCGGUUUCACUCUUAUCUGACAGCUUGUCACACAUCGCGGGAAAAGCUGUGGCUUUUUUACCCUACACCAAAGCAGAACUAUAUUUCUCAACAUGAUAGCACCGUAAGAAGAGAAUUCAACUAGAAGUAUAAAUAUAUGUUACCGCAAACAGAUGAACUCUGGCCAUACAGCUCAUAAAGGGAAACAAACUCUAUGCAAUUUGUAAUUAAUUAAUUAAUUCAUUAAGAGUCUGUUGUAUGAUAUAUAGGGAUAGCAUAUUUGGUUUAAAAUAUUCCCUUUCGGUACAUCAGAAUUUCUUAAAGGGGAAGGGAAUGUCAGCGUUGCAACCCCUGACCUCUUUCUUGUACUAUGAAGUACGCACUGUAACUGAUUUGGCUCAUGUUUCAUUCAGCCUUGUAUUAAUUUAUGCUAACCAAUUAUUAUCUUAUCAAUUUUAAACAAUAUAAAACACAACAAAAAAAUUCAAACCAAAGAGGCCCUUAAUCCACUUCUACAACCAUAAUGAAGUCGCACAUGCUUAUAAUACAAUAUAUUUAAAAAGAUGCUACAGACGCCAAAACUAAAUUUAUCUUCAUAAAGAUGAUACCUUGAGCAAGCCAUGAGGCUCCAAUACUAAAGCUGGAGAUGCACAUAUUGCCCCAUAUGGUCUAUUUGAUUCCCUCUGCUUCUUUAGCGUAUCUACCAGUUUUUCAGAGACUGCAAAUUUUUGGGCACCACCCAACCCACCUGGUAAGACAAUUAGGUCAUAAGAAAGCUUAGCAGCCUCAUCAAGGAGCAUAUCUGCCUCCAGUUUAACUUUACGAGAAGCCAAAAUUUCCAGCUUGUCCUCAACAGAGGCCACCACAACAUUUGCUUUAGCUCGUCGUAGAAUAUCAAUGAUCAUAAUAGCUUCCAUUUCCUCUGUACCAUUAGCAAUAGGCACAAGAAUCUGAGGAAUAUUGUCAAAUGUCCACUUCACUGGAUUUAGCUCCUUUAUGAUAUAUUCAUCCCCAUGGUUGGUACGCAUCACCAGAGGGCCAGAAACUUCAUUCGCCUUUUCUUUCCCAUACAAUUGCUCAACUAGUGCAACAGCAAACUCCAUGGUAGUGCCAGGUCCACGACUUGUGACAACUAUGCCAUCCUGCUGCACUCGUGAUUCGACAGCUGUUGCACAAGAUUGCAGCUGCUCCAUAAAUGAUGGGUAACAAGUUGCUUUCAAUCCCUUUAGCAGCCCCCAUGAGCCAAGUGCCACUGCAGGAGAAGCACAAACUGCUGCAUAAAGCCGCCCAUCUGCAGCCUGUUUCUUCACCAUGCUUUCCAAAGCAGCAGAAUUUUUAAGGUUUGUAGCACCUGGUAGGCCCCCAGGGAGAGUGAUGAGAUCAUAAACGGCGCCGGAGCAAUCAGAAAUGAGAGCAUCGGCGACGAUCCUGACGCCGUGACCAGCUUCAACUCGUAGCUGCUUCUCGACAGAAGCUACGAUGACAUCCGCGCCGGCUCUCCUUAGUACAUCGAUAGUUAUCACGGCCUCCAUCGGCUCCGUUCCAUUGGCAAUCGGCACCAAAACCUUCUUAGCAGAGGCAGCCAUUACAGUAGUUGCUUUGACAGGGAAGGAUAAGCGAGUCUUGAGAGAAGGUAGCUUGGAAGAGAAAGGGUAAGAGCAGUGGAGUAAGUGAAGAAGAGAGUGAGGAAUAGGUUGGCGUAACAAUACCAUUUUUAGCUUUUCAUUUAUUAUUAUUAUUUUUUUCUAUUUUCCAGAGAGAUCCGCGUUGUUCGUGGCUCGGUGCUGCUGCUUCAGUGCGGAGACGCUGCUAUGGUAAUUGAGAUGUGUGGCUGUGAUAUUACCACGCCGGCUGUUAAGCUUCUAUCCAUCAGGCCUGUUUGGAGUGUGCAUUUU
rnacentral:misc_RNA from 1 species